GGCGGCCGCGGGAAUUUCGAUUUUUUUGGUUGAUUCCUGCCGGAGGCCCACUGCUAUCAGAGUUCGAUUAAGCCAUGCGAGUUGAGAGGUGCAAGACCUCGGCAUACUGCUCAGUAACACGUGGACAACCUACCCUACAGAGGGGGAUAACCCCGGGAAGCUGGGGAUAAUACCCCAUAGACUAUGGAUGCUGGAAUGCUUUGUAGUUGAAAGGUCCGCCGCUGUAGGAUGGGUCUGCGGCCGAUUAGGUUGUUGUUGGGGUAACGGCCCAACAAGCCUGUAAUCGGUACGGGUUGUGGGAGCAAGAGCCCGGAGAUGGAUUUUGAGACACGAAUCCAGGCCCUACGGGGCGCAGCAGGCGCGAAAACUUUACAAUGCGGGAAACCGUGAUAAGGGAACUCUGAGUGCCCGUAAAAUCGGGCUGUCCAUCAGUUUAAAUAACUGGUGAAGAAAGGGCCGGGCAAGACCGGUGCCAGCCGCCGCGGUAAUACCGGCGGCUCGAGUGGUGGCCACUAUUACUGGGCUUAAAGCGUUCGUAGCUGGUUUGUUAAGUCUCUGGGGAAAUCUUCCGGCUUAACCGGAAGGCGUCUCAGGGAUACUGGCAGACUAGGGACCGGGAGAGGUGAGGGGUACUCCAGGGGUAGGAGUGAAAUCCUGUAAUCCUCGGGGGACCACCUGUGGCGAAGGCGCCUCACCAGAACGGCUCCGACAGUGAGGGACGAAAGCUGGGGGAGCAAACCGGAUUAGAUACCCGGGUAGUCCCAGCUGUAAACGAUGCGCGUUAGGUGUAUCGGUGACCACGAGUCACCGAGGUGCCGAAGAGAAAUCGUGAAACGUGCCGCCUGGGAAGUACGGUCGCAAGGCUGAAACUUAAAGGAAUUGGCGGGGGAGC
rnacentral:rRNA from 1 species